rnacentral:misc_RNA from 1 species
CCGAGUUAGGGUUCCUCCAACGGGCCCGACCUCCCAACCCUGUGUCUACUACACCUUUGUCGUUGCUUCGGCGGACCGGUUAACCAAAACUGGCCGCGACCGCCGGGGGCCAAACACCCCUGGAGAGCGUCCGCCGACGGCCCAACCACAAACGCUUGUACGAAAAUCUGUCUGAAUUGACUUGAUUAAAUCAAACCACA